UACGAAGGGGGCUAGCGUUGUUCGGAAUUACUGGGCGUAAAGCGCACGUAGGCGGACUAUUAAGUCAGGGGUGAAAUCCCGGGGCUCAACCCCGGAACUGCCUUUGAUACUGUCGAUCUGGAGUAUGGAAGAGGUGAGUGGAAUUCCGAGUGUAGAGGUGAAAUUCGUAGAUAUUCGGAGGAACACCAGUGGCGAAGGCGGCUCACUGGUCCAUUACUGACGCUGAGGUGCGAAAGCGUGGGGAGCAAACAGG
rnacentral:rRNA from 1 species